ACAAUGACCCAAGCUCCUGUUUGUUGAUUGUGAUGAAAUGCAUGCUGAGGCACAUGCCUUGGGAGCUAAGUGGCAGCUAUACUUCACUACUAUGGCAGUAAAGAUGACUAUAAAGACUGGCGGGGGAUGGAUCCUUUCAAAUGUACCUGAGCUGGGAUGCCCAGCUUGUGGAACGCACAGCAGGAGGUGAGCAGUGGCCAAAGGAACAUCUGAAGGAACACCUGAUGAGGCUGCACCCUUGGCGGAAAGAACACCUGACAUGGCUGAAAGCUUGGUGGAAAAACCACCUGAUGAGGCUGCACCCUUGGUGGAGGGAACAGCUGACAAAAUUCAAUGUUUGGGGAAAGCAACAUCUGGAAAGUUUGAACAGUCAGCAGAAGAAACACCUAAGAAAAUUAUGAGGACUGCAAAAGAAACAUCUAAGAAAUUUGCAUGGCCAGCAAAAGAAAGACCUAGGAAGAUCACAUGGGAGGAAAAAUAAACAUCUGUAAAGACUGAAUGCGUGGCAGGAGUAAUACCUAAUAAAACUGAAGUUUUGGAAAAAGGAACAUCUAAGAUGCUCACGUGUCCUACAAAAGAAACAUCUACAAAAGCAAGUACAAAUGUGGAUGUGAGUUCUGUAGAGUCUAUAUUCAGAGUCUCACCCUGUCACCCAGGCUGGAAUGCAAUGGCACGAUCUCGGCUCACUGCAACCUCCACCUCCCAGGUUCAAGCGAUUCUCCUGCCUCAGCCUCCCGAGUAUCUGGGAGUACAGGCAUGCGCCUCCACGCCCAGCUAAUUUUUGUAUUUUUAGUAGAGACGGAGUUUCACCAUGUUGCCCAGGCUGGGCUCAAACUCCUGACCUCAUGAUCCACCCGCCUCGGCCUCCUAAAAUGCUGGGACUACAGGCGUAAGCCACUGCACCUGGCCCGAUUUCACUUUCAAAAAUUCAACAGUCUGCAUAGGUUACUUAAUUCUACCCAUUUAGCCUAUCUUAUAAAUAUUUAUCUUAUCACUAUGUAAUUUUCCUCAUGUAGGUCAUCUACUCAUACUCCAAAUGUAUUUAUCCAGAUCUUUCUUCCAAGCCCCUUGGGUGCCCCAAAUCUUAUAGGUCUCAAACUGAAAGCAUCAUUUUUAUUCUGUUCCUGUUUUCUGACUCUUCGUAAUCUACUCUGUCAUCUGGUUUCCCCAUCCUAGGAAAUAACACCUAGGAAGUAGCGGUGAAACACUCAAGCACUUAAACCUGCACUUCAACCCUCCCCCACAUCCUAAACUUCAACCCUUUUCCAUGUCACCCAUCCAGUCACACACCUAAUUUUGUAUUUUCUACCUUCUUAUAAUUUUCCAUAUCUUAUUACCAUAAUUAACUCUCUACCUAUAAUUUUGAAGUACUCCUUUCUAGUUUUGCCCCAUCUCCCCAUGUUCAUCUAUCUUUACAUCGCUGGAAGGGUCACCUUUCUAAAAUGUAUUUGUAAUGAUGUAACUCAUCUGCAUAUUGAGUGAAUACCCAUUACACGAAGGGGUAAGUUCACAUUCUAGCGUGACACAUAUCUUAUAUGGUUUGGCCCCAUUUUAUCUCUUCAUCUCUUUCCUCUGUGUUCCAGUUUUACGACAUCACCUUGGCACCCCUCAAUUGCCAUGUUGUUUCAUGCCUUAUUAUUUUACACAUGCUAUUGCACCUAGAGUCUUUGUAUCCUGACUCUGCACUUUGUCUGUCCUUCCCAAUAUGGCCCCAUUAUGGCAGCAUUUUCUAUGCUUUUCAGAUAAAACUGAUUGUUCUCUCCUUUGUGCCCUUAUGUAUUAUAUUGACUUAAAUUGUAGAACUGGUGAAUUAUACUUUUCUGUUCUUAUUUGUUUUCACGUCUCUAACAUUUCUUGAAUAUAGGCCAGAAUCUAUCUUCUGUGUAUAUUUCCUGCUUCUCCCAGGAUAGUGCCUGUGAUUCGAUAGAUACAAUGUAUGGGUUUUUUUGUUUGUGUUUUGUUUUGUCUUACUGACAAAUUGAGUGAAUGAGUGAAUAAAUAAAGUUUUUUCUGAAGUUGUUUUUUGGUGCUUUUUGGUUUUUGUUUGUAAUAGAAGGAAGCAACAAAGACAGCAACUGAACAACAAGAAAAUGAUAUUGGAAUUAUUGAAUGAGCGCCAUAAGAUCUAACAAAUAAGAUGCCCACAUCAGAGUCAGGACAAAAAGAAGAUACGAAAUCACCUUCAGUUUCUGAGGUAUCAGAUAAUAAUGAUGUAUUCCAAGGUCACAGCUAUGGAUGUGGAAGAGAUAGGAAAGGCCUCACCACUUAAGAUAGAAGCAGCAGCUGCAUAGUGGUAACAGCAAUGAGUGGAUGUCAAAAGACAGAUUCAACUAGCCUAUCAAUAUUCUUGGGUGCAGUUCCUUCUCAUGAAAGAGCAAGGGAACUUAAAAAAUAUCACUGUGAACAACUUACAGCAAAAAUAAAACAAAUGAAAAAUAAGUUUUGGGUACUACAAAAGGAACUAUCAGAAGCAAAAAUAAAAUUGCAGUAAGUGAAUCAAAAGGUUAAAUGGGAACAAGAGCUCUGCAGUGUGAGCUUGGAAUGAAGUUGAUAAUAGUGAGACCUUGUUGGUACAAGACUAUGUAACACAACCUGCACUUCUCAACAAAAAAUUGCUUUUCUGACUUCUGCACUCAGUAGGUAUCUUUGGAAAAUAAUCUCCUAUUGGUACUGAGGCACCCUGGCUAAGUUUUGUAAUUCUUGUUGACAUUUGUUCGUGGUGCCAGAAAAGUAUUAUUAAGUAUUAUUAACUAUUCUAAAGAUAGUUACUUUUCUUUAAGACAGAGUCUCGCUCUGUCACCCAGGCUGGAGUGCAGUGGCAUAAUCUCGGCUCACUGCAAGCUCCACCUCCCGGGUUCAUGCCAUUCUCCUGUCUCAGCCUCCCGAGUAGCUGGAACUACAGGUACCCACCACCAAGCCCAGCUAAUUUUUUUGUAUUUUUAGUAGAGACAGGGUUUCACCAUGUUAGCCAGGAUGGUCUCAAUCUCCUAACCUUGUGAUCCACCCACCUCGGCCUUCCAAAGUCCUGGGAUUACAGGCGUGAGCCACUGCGCCUGGCCAAGAUAGUUACUUUCUUAGUGACACAAGUCACUAUGUCACAAAGUUGAUCCUUGAAUAAGGGUUUUCACUGUAGGAGCCCACUAACAGACAGAUUUUUCUUUUCCUUUGGCACUGCAAGAUAGCAAGACAAAUCUCUCCUCUGCCUCCUCAUCAGACUACUCAAUGUGAAGGCAAUAAGAAUGAAAACCUUUAUGUAUAAUAAUUCACUUCCACUUAAUAAAUAGUGAAUAUAUUUUUUCCUCCUUGUAACAGUU
rnacentral:lncRNA from 1 species